rnacentral:tRNA from 1 species
GAGGGUAUAGCUCAGUGGCAGAGUGUGUGCUUGGCAUGCACGGGGUCCUGGGUUCAAUCCCCAGUCCCUCCA